rnacentral:rRNA from 1 species
UUACCGCAAACCGACACAGGUAGUCGGGUCGAGAAGACCAAGGUGAGCGAGAGAACUCUCGUUAAGGAACUCGGCAAAAUGACCCCGUAACUUCGGGAGAAGGGGUGCUGAUCGCAAGAUCAGCCGCAGUGAAUAGGCCCAGGCGACUGUUUAUCAAAAACACAGGUUUCUGCAAAAUCGUAAGAUGAAGUAUAGGGGCUGACGCCUGCCCGGUGCUGGAAGGUUAAGAGGAUGGGUUAGCGCAAGCGAAGCUCAGAAUUGAAGCCCCAGUAAACGGCGGCCGUAACAAUAACGGUCCUAAGGUAGCGAAAUUCCUUGUCGGGUAAGUUCCGACCCGCACGAAAGGCGUAACGAUCUGGGCACUGUCUCAACGAGAGACUCGGUGAAAUUAUAAUACCCGUGAAGAUGCGGGUUACCCGCGACAGGACGGAAAGACCCCAUGGAGCUUUACUGUAGCUUGAUAUUGGGUGUUUGUACAACUUGUACAGGAUAGGUAGGAGCCGUAGAAGUCGGGACGCUAGUUUCGACGGAGGCAUCGGUGGGAUACUACCCUCGUUGUAUGAACACUCUAACCCACGCCGGCAAUCACGGCGGGAGACAGUGUCAGGUGGGCAGUUUGACUGGGGCGGUCGCCUCCUAAAAGGUAACGGAGGCGCCCAAAGGUUCCCUCAGAAUGGUUGGAAAUCAUUCGCAGAGUGUAAAGGCAUAAGGGAGCUUGACUGCGAGACCUACAAGUCGAGCAGGGACGAAAGUCGGGCUUAGUGAUCCGGUGGUUCCGCAUGGAAGGGCCAUCGCUCAACGGAUAAAAGCUACCCUGGGGAUAACAGGCUUAUCUCCCCCAAGAGUCCACAUCGACGGGGAGGUUUGGCACCUCGAUGUCGGCUCAUCGCAUCCUGGGGCUGUAGUCGGUCCCAAGGGUUGGGCUGUUCGCCCAUUAAAGCGGUACGCGAGCUGGGUUCAGAACGUCGUGAGACAGUUCGGUCCCUAUCCGUCGCGGGCGCAGGAAAUUUGAGAGGAUCUGUCCUUAGUACGAGAGGACCGGGAUGGACAUACCGCCGGUGUACCAGUUGUUCUGCCAAGGGCAUCGCUGGGUAGCUAUGUAUGGAUGAGAUAAACGCUGAAAGCAUCUAAGUGCGAAACUCACCUCGAGAUGAGAUUUCCCACUCCUUUAUGGAGUUAAGACCCCUGAGAGAUGAUCAGGUAGAUAGGAUGGAAGUGGAAGUGCGGCGACGCAUGGAGCGGACCAUUACUAAUCGGUCGAGGACUUAACC